rnacentral:rRNA from 1 species
UACGGAGGGAGCUAGCGUUAUUCGGAAUUACUGGGCGUAAAGGGCGCGUAGGCGGUGCUCUAAGUCGGAUGUGAAAACUCUGGGCUCAACCCAGAGCCUGCAUCCGAAACUGGAGUGCUAGAGUUCUGGAGGGGGUAGCGGAAUUCCUGGUGUAGCGGUGAAAUGCGUAGAUAUCAGGAGGAACACCGGUGGCGAAGGCGGCUACCUGGACAGAAACUGACGCUGAGGCGCGAAAGCUAGGGGAGCAAACAGG